rnacentral:rRNA from 1 species
GACAGUAGCUUUGCCUGCUAUCUCUUACCCAUGUCUUUUGAGUACCUUCGUUUCCUCGGCGGGUCCGCCCGCCGAUUGGACAAUUUAAACCAUUUGCAGUUGCAAUCAGCGUCUGAAAAAACUUAAUAGUUACAACUUUCAACAACGGAUCUCUUGGUUCUGGCAUCGAUGAAGAACGCAGCGAAAUGCGAUAAGUAGUGUGAAUUGCAGAAUUCAGUGAAUCAUCGAAUCUUUGAACGCACAUUGCGCCCCUUGGUAUUCCAUGGGGCAUGCCUGUUCGAGCGUCAUUUGUACCUUCAAGCUCUGCUUGGUGUUGGGUGUUUGUCUCGCCUCUGCGCGUAGACUCGCCUCAAAACAAUUGGCAGCCGGCGUAUUGAUUUCGGAGCGCAGUACAUCUCGCGCUUUGCACUCAUAACGACGACGUCCAAAAGUACAUUUUUACACUCUUGACCUCGGAUCAGGUAGGGAUACCCGCUGAACUUAAGCAUAUCAUAGGCGCGGAAGGAAAAUCAUUACCUAGAGUUGUAGGCUUUGCCUGCUAUCUCUUACCCAUGUCUUUUGAGUACCUUCGUUUCCUCGGCGGGUCCGCCCGCCGAUUGGACAAUUUAAACCAUUUGCAGUUGCAAUCAGCGUCUGAAAAAACUUAAUAGUUACAACUUUCAACAACGGAUCUCUUGGUUCUGGCAUCGAUGAAGAACGCAGCGAAAUGCGAUAAGUAGUGUGAAUUGCAGAAUUCAGUGAAUCAUCGAAUCUUUGAACGCACAUUGCGCCCUUGGUAUUCCAUGGGGCAUGCCUGUUCGAGCGUCAUUUGUACCUUCAGCUCUGCUUGGUGUUGGGUGUUUGUCUCGCUCUGCGCGUAGACUCGCUCAAACAAUUGGCAGCCGGGUAUUGAUUCCGAGCGCAGUACAUCUCGCGCUUUGCACUCAUAACGACGACGUCCAAAGUACAUUUUUACCUCUUGACUUCGGAUCAGUAGGAUACCCGCUGAACUUAAACAUAUCAUAAGCCGGAGGAAAAA